rnacentral:snRNA from 1 species
AGUUUUGUGCAGUGGCAGUAUUGUAGCCAAUGAGGUCUAUGUGAAGAACAAUUAUUGCUAAUUGAAAACAAGAGUCAAUAU